UGGCUGAAUGCGAUUUGAACACGCGUCCUCCAGAUCUGAAGUCAGACGCUCUACCGUUGCGCCACCGAGCC